UUAAGUUAAUAAGGGCGCACGGUGGAUGCCUUGGCACUAGGAGCCGACGAAGGACGUGACAAACGACGAUAUGCCUUGGGUAGCUGUAAGUAAGCGAUGAUCCAGGGAUUUCCGAAUGGGGGAACCCAACAGGUAAUACCUGUUACCUACAUCUGUUAAGGAUGUGAGGAGGAAGACGCAGUGAACUGAAACAUCUAAGUAGCUGCAGGAAGAGAAAGCAAAAGCGAUUGCCUUAGUAGCGGCGAGCGAAACGGCAGAAGGGCAAACCGAAGAGUUUACUCUUCGGGGUUGUAGGACUGCAAUGUGGACUCAAAGAUUAUAGAAGAAUGAUUUGGGAAGAUCAGCCAAAGAGAGUAAUAGCCUCGUAUUUAAAAUAGUCUUUGUACUUAGCAGUAUCCUGAGUACGGCGGGACACGUGAAAUCCCGUCGGAAUCUGGGAGGACCAUCUCCCAACCCUAAAUACUCCCUAGUGACCGAUAGUGAACCAGUACCGUGAGGGAAAGGUGAAAAGCACCCCGGGAGGGGAGUGAAAUAGAACCUGAAACCGUGUGCCUACAACAAGUUCGAGCCCGUUAAUGGGUGAGAGCGUGCCUUUUGUAGAAUGAACCGGCGAGUUACGUUAUGAUGCGAGGUUAAGUUGAAGAGACGGAGCCGUAGGGAAACCGAGUCUGAAUAGGGCGCCUUAGUAUCAUGACGUAGACCCGAAACCAUGUGACCUACCCAUGAGCAGGUUGAAGGUGCGGUAAGACGCACUGGAGGACCGAACCAGGGCACGUUGAAAAGUGCUUGGAUGACUUGUGGGUAGCGGAGAAAUUCCAAACGAACUUGGAGAUAGCUGGUUCUCUCCGAAAUAGCUUUAGGGCUAGCGUCGACAUUAGAGAUUCUUGGAGGUAGAGCACUGUUUGGGUGAGGGGUCCAUCCCGGAUUACCAAUCUCAGAUAAACUCCGAAUGCCAAUGAAUUAUGGUCGGCAGUCAGACUGCGAGUGCUAAGAUCCGUAGUCGAAAGGGAAACAGCCCAGACCACCAGCUAAGGUCCCAAAAUAAUUGUUAAGUGGAAAAGGAUGUGGGGUUGCACAGACAACUAGGAUGUUAGCUUAGAAGCAGCUAUUCAUUCAAAGAGUGCGUAAUAGCUCACUAGUCGAGUGACCCUGCGCCGAAAAUGUACCGGGGCUAAAACAAUUUACCGAAGCUGUGGAUACCUUUAUAGGUAUGGUAGGAGAGCGUUCUAUGUGUGAUGAAGGUAUACCGUGAGGAGUGCUGGAACGCAUAGAAGUGAGAAUGCCGGUAUGAGUAGCGAAAGACAGGUGAGAAUCCUGUCCACCGUAAGACUAAGGUUUCCAGGGGAAGGCUCGUCCGCCCUGGGUUAGUCGGGACCUAAGGAGAGACCGAAAGGUGUAUCCGAUGGACAACAGGUUGAUAUUCCUGUACUAGAGUAUGUAGUGAUGGAGGGACGCAGUAGGCUAACUAAAGCAGACGAUUGGAAGAGUCUGUCUAAGCAGUGAGGUGUGAAUUGAGUCAAAUGCUUAAUUCUAUAACAUUGAGCUGUGAUGGGGAGCGAAGUUUAGUAGCGAAGUUAGUGACGUCACACUGCCAAGAAAAGCUUCUAGCGUUUAAACAUACUCUACCCGUACCGCAAACCGACACAGGUAGUCGAGGCGAGUAGCCUCAGGUGAGCGAGAGAACUCUCGUUAAGGAACUCGGCAAAAUGACCCCGUAACUUCGGGAGAAGGGGUGCUGACUUAAAGUCAGCCGCAGUGAAUAGGCCCAAGCAACUGUUUAUCAAAAACACAGCUCUCUGCUAAAUCGUAAGAUGAUGUAUAGGGGGUGACGCCUGCCCGGUGCUGGAAGGUUAAGAGGAGUGCUUAGCGUAAGCGAAGGUAUGAAUUGAAGCCCCAGUAAACGGCGGCCAUAACUAUAACGGUCCUAAGGUAGCGAAAUUCCUUGUCGGGUAAGUUCCGACCCGCACGAAAGGCGUAAUGAUUUGGGCACUGUCUCAACGAGAGACUCGGUGAAAUUUUAGUACCUGUGAAGAUGCAGGUUACCCGCGACAGGACGGAAAGACCCCAUGGAGCUUUACUGCAGUUUGAUAUUGAGUGUCUGUACCACAUGUACAGGAUAGGUAGGAGUCUAAGAGAUCGGGACGCCAGUUUCGAAGGAGACGCUGUUGGGAUACUACCCUUGUGUUAUGGCCACUCUAACCCAGAUAGGUGAUCCCUAUCGGAGACAGUGUCUGACGGGCAGUUUGACUGGGGCGGUCGCCUCCUAAAAGGUAACGGAGGCGCCCAAAGGUUCCCUCAGAAUGGUUGGAAAUCAUUCGCAGAGUGUAAAGGUAUAAGGGAGCUUGACUGCGAGAGCUACAACUCGAGCAGGGACGAAAGUCGGGCUUAGUGAUCCGGUGGUUCCGUAUGGAAGGGCCAUCGCUCAACGGAUAAAAGCUACCCUGGGGAUAACAGGCUUAUCUCCCCCAAGAGUUCACAUCGACGGGGAGGUUUGGCACCUCGAUGUCGGCUCGUCGCAUCCUGGGGCUGUAGUCGGUCCCAAGGGUUGGGCUGUUCGCCCAUUAAAGCGGCACGCGAGCUGGGUUCAGAACGUCGUGAGACAGUUCGGUCCCUAUCCGUCGCGGGCGUAGGAAAUUUGAGAGGAUCUGCUCCUAGUACGAGAGGACCAGAGUGGACUUACCGCUGGUGUACCAGUUGUCUUGCCAAAGGCAUCGCUGGGUAGCUAUGUAGGGAAGGGAUAAACGCUGAAAGCAUCUAAGUGUGAAACCCACCUCAAGAUGAGAUUUCCCAUGAUUAUAUAUCAGUAAGAGCCCUGAGAGAUGAUCAGGUAGAUAGGUUAGAAGUGGAAGUGUGGCGACACAUGUAGCGGACUAAUACUAAUAGCUCGAGGACUUAUCCAA
rnacentral:rRNA from 1 species